rnacentral:rRNA from 1 species
UACAGGGGGGGCAAGCGUUGUUCGGAAUUACUGGGCGUAAAGGGUUCGUAGGUGGCCACUUAAGUCAGACGUGAAAUCCCUCAGCUUAACUGGGGAACUGCGUCCGAGACUGGGAGGCUAGAGGUAGGUAGGGGAGAUCGGAAUUCCUGGUGUAGCGGUGAAAUGCGCAGAUAUCAGGAGGAACACCGGUGGCGAAGGCGGAUCUCUGGGCCUUACCUGACGCUCAGGCACGAAAGCUAGGGGAGCGAACAGG